rnacentral:rRNA from 1 species
GACGUAGGGCGCGAGCGUUGUCCGGAUUUAUUGGGCGUAAAGAGCUCGUAGGCGGCUUGUCGCGUCGUCCGUGAAAACCUGCGGCUCAACUGCAGGCUGGCGGUCGAAACGGGCAGGCUGGAGUUCGGUAGGGGAGACUGGAAUUCCUGGUGUAGCGGUGAAAUGCGCAGAUAUCAGGAGGAACACCGGUGGCGAAGGCGGGUCUCUGGGCCGAUACUGACGCUGAGGAGCGAAAGCGUGGGGAGCGAACAGG